rnacentral:rRNA from 1 species
CAAGAGCGUAUGUAAAAGUUGUUGCAGUUAAAAAGCUCGUAGUUGAACCUUGGGUUUGGUUGGCCGGUCCGCUUUUUUGCGAGUACUGGAUUCAACCGAGCCUUUCCUUCUGGCUAACCAGUCGUUUCGGCGGCUGGCGAACCAGGAUUUUUACUUUGAGAAAAUUAGAGUGUUCAAAGCAGGCAUUAGCUUGAAUAUAUUAGCAUGGAAUAAUAGAAUAGGACGUUAUGGUUCUAUUUUGUUGGUUUCUAGGACCAUCGUAAUGAUUAAUAGGGACGGUCGGGGGCAUCAGUAUUCAGUUGUCGGAGGUGAAAUUCUUGGAUUUACUGAAGACUAACUACUGCGAAAGCAUUCGCCAAGGACGUUUUCAUUAA